CAUUCUACAACAAAAUAUGCAUCGGUGCUUGACGGUGUUGUUAAUUGUAGCUUUUUUUGAGUCUCAUCUGUCAGUGGAGGCUGUAAAUGCACCUCCAGGACAAACAUUGGGACAACCAUGGCCGAUGCCUCAAAGCUAUCAAUCUUAUCCAGAUUUACUUCUUCUUAAUUCUGCAACUUUCAACCUUAGUCCUGUUGGCCAUAGCUGUGAUAUACUUCAAGAUGCUAUCAGACGAUAUAGACUAAUAAUUUUUGGACCUUCGAAUGCUUUAAAAUUUAGACCUAAAUCAAAUGUAAAUGUCCUAGCUAAUUUGGACGUCAACUUGAUGAAUGAAUGCGAAAAAUACCCAUCUCUGGAAAUGAAAGAGAAUUAUACCUUGACCGUUACAUCCUCGACAGCCAAUCUUGCAUCUCCAACUAUAUGGGGAAUUCUUCGAGGUUUGGAAACUUUCAGCCAGCUGGUUUAUCGAGGCAACUAUGGCGAAUUUCUCUUGAACGCUACGAAGAUUGUCGACUUUCCCCGAUUCUCCCACAGAGGUGUGCUAUUAGAUACAUCUCGUCACUAUUUAUCGAAAGAGGUUAUCAAGGAGAACAUUGAGGCAAUGGCUUAUAAUAAAAUGAACGUUUUUCAUUGGCAUAUCGUAGAUGAUCAAUCAUUUCCCUAUCAAAGUCGUAAAUAUCCUAAGCUUAGUGACGAAGGUGCUUACAAUCGUUUCACUCACAUCUAUACUCAAAAUGACGUUGCUGAAAUUAUUGAAUUUGCUCGUGUAAGAGGUAUUAGAGUCAUACCCGAAUAUGAUACUCCAGGCCAUUCUCAAUCUUGGGGAAAGGGACAAAAAGGUCUCUUAACAGAAUGUUAUAGUCAGGGAAAGCCAAACGGAAAUUUUGGACCUAUUAAUCCAAUUGUAAACACUACAUAUACAUUCCUGGAAGGUUUUUUUUCAGAAGUUCAACAAGUAUUCCCAGAUAAAUAUACACAUAUGGGAGGUGACGAAGUGUCUUUUGAUUGUUGGAAAAGUAAUCCGGAUAUUACAAAAUUUAUGCAACAGCAUGGUUUCCCUGGAAACUAUUCAAGAUUGGAACAAUACUACGAACAAAGAUUACUCAAUAUUAUGGCAAAACUAAAUGCAGGAUAUAUCAUUUGGCAAGAAGUUGUAGAUAACGGUGUAAAAGUAAGACCAGACACGGUCGUUGAAAUUUGGAAAGGUGGAUAUCAAGAUGAGUUAGCUAAAGUCACCAAGAAAGGCUUAAGAACUAUACUUUCAUCUUGCUGGUACCUAAAUUAUAUUAGCUACGGAGGCGAUUGGACUAAGUAUUAUUCAUGUGAUCCAUGGGAUUUCGAAGGUACUGCUGAACAGAAGAAUUUAGUUAUUGGAGGCGAGUCUUGCAUGUGGGGAGAGUAUGUAGAUUCUACUAACGUCAUCUCAAGACUAUGGCCUAGGAAUUCAGCUGUUGCCGAAAGACUAUGGAGCGCACAAUCCGUAAAGAAUCCUGAUAAGGCAAAACCUAGAAUUGAAGAAAAUCGCUGUCGUAUGAUAAGACGAGGCAUUAGAGCAGAACCAUUAAGUGGACCAGGAUUUUGUAGCCAAGAAUUCAAUUCUAUCCCCUAAAUAUGUUUGAUAAUACUCAGUGAUAUGUAUUUGCAAUGAUACUAUAGAGAAUAAAUGAUAAUGAACUUUUAAUCUUUCUUUCACGACACUAAUUUUGACUUGAAAAUUUGCUUUUAUGAAACAUAUGAAUAACAUUAAUAUUAUAAUAGCUCACUUGUAAAUUUAGGUUCGCCCAGAUACUGUUGUGCAUGUAUGGAAAGGGGGAUGGCAACAAGAUAUUGCCAAGGUAACAGCUUUAGGUCAUAGAGCAUUAUUAUCCACUUGUUGGUACCUUGAUUAUAUAUCAUAUGGAACUGAUUGGACAUCUUAUUACAAUUGCGAACCGCUUAAUUGGCAAGGUAGGAAUCUUAAUAAGACAUGAAAACGAGAAAACACCAUUUACUUAUAGGCAGUGCCGCACAAAAAAAGUUAGUAAUGGGUGGUGAAGCAGCUCUAUGGGGAGAAUUUGUUGAUACCUCAAAUGUUGUUUCUAGACUUUGGUAAUUUAAAAUAGAAUUAUAUUUAACACACGUCAAUUAAAACAAAUUGUUAGGCCUAGAGCAAGUGCUGUUGCUGAAAAAUUGUGGAGUUCCUCAGCAAUGUCCGAUGCAACAAGUGCAACGCCAAGAUUUAAGGAACACAGAUGCAGAAUGGUCGGACGGGGAAUUAGAGCCGAACCUCAAAAUGGUCCUGGCUAUUGCGUAAAGGAAUUUAACUAGUUACUUACUAGGAAGAAAAGAAUAGAAUACGACAAUUUGAUUUAGUUUCUAACUUUGUUAUGAUUUUAACUUUUAGCUCUAAGAAAUAAAUGGUGUUACACACCUGUAUACAGU
rnacentral:misc_RNA from 1 species